UUUCUGUACAAAGAAUAUGUAAUGCACUACUUAAAAGCUACAAAAUGCAUGCACACAAUAAAAAUUAUGCUGAAUUCAGUAAUAAUAAAAAAGUAAAAAAAGAAAAAAAAAAUACUCAUAACAUAUGUUAUGUUCAUAAGAAAAACAACAUAAAGAGUAGUAUUAUUAGUAGUGAUACUAGCAGUAAUAAUAAUAAUAAUGAUAAUAAUAAUAAUAAUAAUUUACAAGAAAAAUUAAAAAAUAUUAAUUAUACAGCAGUUAACUCAAGCCUGAAAAACGAAAAGCAGCAGAUACAUACUGUUAAUAACACAAAUCAUGCACAAAAUGCUUAUUCAUAUUCUGAUAAUAAUGUUAAGACCAUUAACAAUGUCGAGUCGAUAUCUGAGGAGCAGCAUAAGAAACAAUAUAAGGAAACAUGUGUGAAAAAUACAAUUAAUGAAAAAAAAAACAUAAAAAAUAAACCAGAUGAGCUUUUAAAUAAUAAAAAAUAUUUAAGUAAAUAUGUUGAUAAUGAUAAGGAACAAAUAUAUAAUAAUAGACCAAGUAGAAAAUCGCAAAAAUGUACUUCUUUAAAUUACGAAAAAGAAUAUAGCGAAAAAGAAUGUGGCGAAAAAGAAUAUAGCGAAAAAGAAUGUGGCGAAAAAGAAUAUAGCGAAAAAGAAUGUGGCGAAAAAGAAUAUGGCGAAAAAGAAUAUGACGAAAAAGAAUGUGGCGAAAAAGAAUAUGACGAAAAAGAAUGUGGCGAAAAAGAAUGUGGCGAAAAAGAAUGUGGCGAAAAAGAAUGUGGCGAAAAAGAAUGUGGCGAAAAAAAUAUAAACGAAAUGCCAUAUGAAGAACAAAAAAAAGAAUUUGUAUCAAAUUUUAACGAACAAAAUUUAAACAGUAUAAAUGAAAAAACUAUUAUUAGUGAUGAUAUAAAAAAAAGGUAUUUUUUUAGAGUUAAUAAAAAACUUAAUAAGCAAAAUGAUAUGUUAAUAGAAAAAAGCAAUGGAUGUUAUAGCUUAAGUAGUAAGGAUGAAGAGCAGUUGAUAAAUCAUGCGGUACAUAACAAUGGUAAUCGUAUAUGUAAAACAGAGUACGAAGCGGGUAACGUACCAAAAAGUGGAGCAGAAGAAGAUGAAAUUCAACAAAAUGUUGAUUAUAUAAUGCAAAAUGAUGAGAUUGAUAUAUCUAAAAUAAAAGUAACACAUAAUAAAAAAUACAUCAAAAUAAACCAGUUUUUAAAUAAAUAUGUUUCAAAAUUUGAAGAGUUUAAUAACAGCGAUAUGCUAUUUUGUUUUGGCGAAUCAAGUGAAGAAGAUGUUAUGAUGUCAGAAAAUAAAAGUUUAAGAUGUAAUAAAAGUAGUAGUAAUAAAAGUAGUAGUAAUAAUAGUAGUAGUAAUACUAAUAAUAGUAAUGACACUAGUAGCAUAGAUAAAAAAAAACAAAAUACACAAACAAUGAAUAAAAAAAAAGCGAAAUUACCUAAAACAAGAAAAAUUAAUUAUAAUGCUAUCGACACAAUGUGGCAACCCCAUUUUCACCCACAUAAUAAAGAGUUCCGUGUUAGAUAUAGAUAUAAAGGAAGCAUGCGACUAAAAACUAUAUCAUGUAAAUUUUUUGGCUAUGACACUAGUAAAAGAAUAUCAAUUUUGUUUCUAUUAAGAUGGUUUAUAUGUGGUAAACAUAUAGCUGAAAAAACGAAACGAUCACGGCUGAGCAUUACUGACAUAAAUAAAUCUAGUUUGCCUGAUUUGAUUUUGAAAAGAAUUAAAAAAAAAAAAAUAAAUAAAAACGGGAACGGAAUUGGAAACGGAGACGGAGACGGAGACGGAAACGAAGACGGAAACGGGAACAAGAGCAAGAACAAAAACAAAAACAAGAACAAGAACAAGAACAAGAACGGGAACAGAAACAGCAAAAGCGGAAAUGUAAAUGAAAAUUACGAUAGUACGAGUAAUAGGAGAAUAAUCAAGAGCAGUAAUGGAUGUAAUAACACAAGUAGCACCUUCAGUAAUAACAGAAAUAGCAACGUUAAAGAAAACAACAGUAUAACUAACAGAAAAAAAAACAAAAACAAUACGAAAAAAAAUGUACUAAACAGUACCAAAAACGGUAUUACAAGUGGCGUUAAGAAUAUGAACAGCGAGAAUAGUACUAUUAGUAACAUAAGUAGUGAUAGUAGAAUAUACCAAAAUAGCGAAAACAAGAAGCAUACGAAAAAUAUUUAUGAACGUAUAGAAAAAAUCACUCAUUUUUUUAUUAAUAAUAAAAAUGAUAAUAACUUUAUGAAUAAAAUAAAAAAUUUUAUUAACAAUAAAAACAAGCAUUUUAAAGAUGAAGAAAUAUUAGAUAUGUUAAAAACAUACCUGAAAGGUGGGUUGUUAAGUAAAAACAAUAGUAGUGCACAUGAUUUGUUAUAUGCUAGACAAUAUGAUAAAGAAAAAAACGGAAACGGUUGGAACUAUAACAUCUACAAAAGCGAUAACAACUACAAAAACAGUAAUAAUAAUUUUUCAUGCAAUUUUUUAGAUACUGACGAGUUAUAUAAAAAUAAAUUAAAAAAAAAUGCUGAGUAUUAUCGUGAUGAUUUUAGUGAAAGUAAUGCAACAAGUUUUGAUGCUUUAGCCUCUUGUAUUAUUGAUGGUGAAAGAUUGAGUGAAGGAAGUAAGAAAAAUAAAAGAAAAAAGACAGGUAAUGGUAGUACUUAUUUUAUUUGUCCUAGUAGCAACCAUAGUAUUUCACGUGAUGAUAGUAGCAGUAAGAGUAGUACUACCCAUAACACUUUUAAAAAAAGAAGAAAAAACGAUAUAAACGAUAUUAAUUUAUUUUCCUUAAAUAAGAACAUGGACAGUACUACAAUGUCUAAUUUUGAUAAUUAUAAUAACAACAAAAAAU
ensembl:lncRNA